UACGUAGGGGGCUAGCGUUAUCCGGAAUUACUGGGCGUAAAGGGUGCGUAGGUGGUUUCUUAAGUCAGAGGUGAAAGGCUACGGCUCAACCGUAGUAAGCCUUUGAAACUGGGGAACUUGAGUGCAGGAGAGGAGAGUGGAAUUCCUAGUGUAGCGGUGAAAUGCGUAGAUAUUAGGAGGAACACCAGUUGCGAAGGCGGCUCUCUGGACUGUAAUUGACACUGAGGCACGAAAGCGUGGGGAGCAAACAGG
rnacentral:rRNA from 1 species